UCCGGUUUGACACCGGCAGUCCCCUUAGAGUCCUCAGCAUUACCUGUUAGUAACUAAGGGCAAAGGUUUCGCUCGUUAAGGGACUUAACCCGACAUCUCACGACACGAGCUGACGACAGCCAUGCAGCACCUGUACUAGUUGUACCCCGAAGGGCCUACCCUACUUUCAUAGGGAUAAUCCUAGCGUUUCAAGCCCAGGUAAGGUUCUGCGCGUUGCUUCGAAUUGAACCACAUGCUCCACCGCUUGUGUGAGCCCCCGUCAAUUUCUUUGAGUUUUAGCCUUGCGACCGUACUUCCCAGGCGGUCGACUUAGCACUUUUGCUUCGACCGUAAUACCGUCAGAGGCACUACGAUCUAGUCGACAUCGUUUACGGCCAGGACUA
rnacentral:misc_RNA from 1 species